UCCAGUUGCUCACACUGAUUUUCACAGCCAUGACUUGAAUCUGGAAAAGGCAAUUUGGAGCCAGGGAGGAGGGGAGGUGGUGCCGUGACAAGCCCUUGGAAGCAUUAUUUGAGGACAGCCCCCUGCUGAGGUGGUCUAUUAGAGAAAGGAUUACCAAAAGUCAUUUAGAGAAUCCAGAAUACAAUUUGAGUUGUUGAUAUUACAAGGAAGCAUCCGGUGCAAAACUGAUGGAAUUUGAAAUUCUCAGCAAUGGAGUUCAUCCUUUAAGUCUCCAGAAGUUUCUGUUAUAUCACGACAACACCUCUGAGGGUUAAUAUAUUGGUAUAGGCUGGUCUAUUAAAGAGAAUAAAAUCUCAAGGGAGUAAGAAUAGCCUUAGAAUAAAAGGAGGUCAUGAAUGACAAGAUAAUUGUUAUUUUGACAAGUUUUUUGACCUAUGUGCUAGCAGUAUGAUUUUUAAGUUUUCAAUACAUGCAUAAAUAAAAACAUGAAUUUAUAUGAAAGGACCAUAGACUGAACUAUCCAUGAUAAUGAUAAAUAACCUCUGAAGAACAGAAGGCACAAGGGAAAUUUUCCUAAUCUAGCAAUAUGGAAAUCAUAUAAAUGUAUGCUGCAGGGGCGGGCAUGCUAACAAGCAAAAUAAUCGAAGGACUUCUGAAUUUUUUAAGUUAGAGUCAUGGGAAAUGGCUCUUUUUAUCUUGAGGUGUGAAUAUAAGAGAAGAGACAGAGCCUGGCAUCUGCUGGAGGCAAUGAUUCUAGUUUUAUUAAGAAAGUUUAUUUGAGAGAAUGAAACAAGCAGGGCAAAAGAAGCAAAUAGAAAUGAAGGGAGCAGAGAGAGAGAGAGAGAGAGAGAGAGAGAGAGAGAGAGAGAGGGAGCGAGCAUGAAUGAGAAUGCAGUGGAUCUCAAUGUCUUGGUUUUGGUUGCCCCAAGGCCUAUAGUUUGAUUAAUAAGCCAAUAGUCUACGUAUUGACCCAGCUAAUUUUAGUUGAGUUUCUGUCUUUUGCAACUAAUAGAAUCCUGAUUAAUAUAAUAGCUUAUAAAUGAGCAACUAUGGGGUUAUAUAUGUUUGAUUGAACUAAUAAAAUGGAAAGUGAAAAAUUAAAUAUCUCUUGAAAUAAUUGCAGAAAAAUUAUUUAGUCUUGUUCUUACUAUCUUGUUUUCUAAUUGUUUUGCUUAUUAUUGCAUAGUAUGAAAUUAUAUAUGCAAAAUGCAUUAUAUAUAAUAUGUAUAUAUUAAUUAUACUAAACCUAUUUACAAAGAAUUCCUUAAACAUUAAUGUGUUCUGUAAAAGCAGCAAGAUGUUUCAUUAUAUUUUAAAUGAGUGAAGAAAAGAAAUACAAAACCUUGAUUUACCAGGAUCAUGAUGGAAGGCCUGUAUCUUUAAAUAUAAAUGUGUACUCUCUAUCCUACAACAAGCCAUUUUA